rnacentral:lncRNA from 1 species
AGUGCCUGCGCGGCUUGCUCCAGCAAGGUAAAAUUUCCCACUGCGAGGCAGGCAGUGAUGCUGCGGCCGCUUCGCACUGUGGCUCCUGCCGACCGCCAGGCGCUGUUACAGUGGAUGCGAACUAACCGUAAGUCAUUAUAUCGUACUGCAGAAACCAGCUCAACUAUGCAAAACUACCACCAGGACUGGCCGACACCAGGAGGGAUUCCAGAGACCACACUGCAGGGAGCAUACAGAAAGAAAAUUAAGAGAUCAGAUGCAGCAGCAGCCGGAACCCACAGUUCACCUUGGUGCAUUCCUUUAUGAUGAAGACUUAUUGAUUCAUUAUAUGAGAAAGGAAAAAUGAGCAGAAACUACUGUAUGAUGUGCAGCUCACACCAGACAGCAACUUUAGGGUUAUCUUUCCAGUUCAGCAGUGCAACUCUAUGGAGUAGAAUUGAAAGGAGACUUUUCGCCAAUUGCAGGAAAUGGUCAUAAAAAAAUACCUGCUCACUGACAGAAUAAAGAGUAAUUUAUCCCUACUUACAGAGAGAUUGCCCUACGUGUAACAGCUGCAUACAAAAAAGUUAUAAAAUUAUCAUUGGUUUAACAAGGAUAAGUGAAAAACAUUAAAAUUCUCCAACUGAACAAGGUGUGUCUGUUUCAUUGAUUGGCUGACUGUCAAAUCGGAAUCUGAUCUGCCCCAUUGACAAUGCCUUGGGCUUUUCCUCGGCCAUGGCAAAUGCCAGAGUCUUCUCAGCUGCCGCUUCACAAAAGAGGUACCAGCUUCUCACUGAACGAACACAGUGCAGCACCAGGAGUGACAGAAGAAGGAGGCGGCAGCGGUGGUUGAGGGACAGGGUGCGUGCACGUCCAAGUACAGUUCUUAAAAUGUUGAGGGCAUACAACAUAUGCUCAAUAAAUACCUGAUUUUUAAAAAAGACAAUGACUAUGGAAAACUCUUGAUCAUUAACCCGAAGGGAGAGUCUAGUUUCCAGGAAGCAUUUGUUUGUAUACACUAUUUAACCCAAGGAUACACUCUUUUCUCCGUGGCAGCGUGACUCAUCUUAGUCUCCAAUUUUUGACCUGGUAAGGCAUCUUUUUUGGUCUCUUAAUUUCUGGCUCACUUGGCCCUGAUUUGAUGUGAAUGUUCUUACUGACAUCCCAGUGACUGAUUCUCAGCACACCACAACCCCUUUUGGUUCCUACCCUAUCUUCUCUGUGUUGGCAACUGGACUCGCCUAUUCUUCAGGACUUUCAGGAGUGCACACUCUGGUAGCUCUCUAUUGACUUUACUGCUCACUCAUUCUUUUUCUUUUUUUUUGGAGACGGAGUCUCGCUCUGUUGCCCAGGCUGGAGUGCAGUGGCGCG